CCCCGUGUGGCUCAGUUGGUAGAGCAUGGUGUUUGCAACGCCAGGGUUGUGAGUUCGAUUCCCACGGGGG
rnacentral:tRNA from 1 species